rnacentral:misc_RNA from 1 species
UUUUUAUUUUUUAUUAUUAUUAGUCUUCCUUUGGUACAUGAUAAUAUAGUCUGAAUCCCUCCUCUGUAUCAUAAAAAAGAACCUUUAUGGUUUUAUUUGGUGGAAUUAAUGCUAGAUCUUGGUCAAAUUUUACUUGGUGAGCCAUGGCUACACAACUGUUUCAUGCUAGAAACGCUGCUCAUCCUUUAAAAAUUCCUGUUUCAACCAACAUGAUAAUACAAUCAAAGGCACACAAUCAUUACACUACUAGGGUAAAACUCAC